rnacentral:rRNA from 1 species
UACGUAGGUGGCGAGCGUUGUCCGGAUUUACUGGGUGUAAAGGGCGCGUAGGCGGGCGGCAAGUCCGAUGUGAAAUCCCGCGGCUUAACUGCGGAACUGCAUCGGAAACUGCCGUCCUUGAGUAUCAGAGGGGAAAGCGGAAUUCCUAGUGUAGCGGUGAAAUGCGUAGAUAUUAGGAGGAACACCGGUGGCGAAGGCGGCUUACUGGACGAUUACUGACGUUGAGGCUCGAAAGCGUGGGGAGCAAACAGGAUUAGAUACCCUGGUAGUCCCUGAG